AAUCAACGCUGGCGGCGUGCCUCAGACAUGCAAGUCGAACGAUUAAAGCUCUCUUCGGAGAGUGCAUAAAGUGGCGCACGGGUGAGUAACACGUAAGUAAUCUACCUUCGAGUGGGGAAUAACGUCCGGAAACGGACGCUAAUACCGCAUAACGCAGCGGCAUCGCAAGAUGACAGUUGUUAAAGAUUUAUCGCUUGAAGAGGAGCUUGCGGCAGAUUAGCNGUUGGUAAGGUAACGGCUUACCAAGGCUACGAUCUGUAUCCGGUCUAAGAGGACGGUCGGACACACUGACACUGAAUAACGGGUCAGACUCCUACGGGAGGCAGCAGUCGGGAAUUUUGGGCAAUGGGGGAAACCCUGACCCAGCAACGCCGCGUGAA
rnacentral:rRNA from 1 species